GUCUAUUUGAGUUUCAGGUUUUCGGGGUCAAAGAUUUUAGCCUUAUUCGGAUAUAUAUAAAUAUUGCAUCAAAGUCGAUUCAGAUCUUUGCGGUUUCGGUUCGGGUUGGAAUAAUUCAUUUAAAUUAUUUUAAAAUUUUUAAAAUUCAUUAUAUAAUUUAAAUUUCUCAAAAUCUAUAAAAAUAAUAUAUUAAUAUAUAUUUGAAUAACAUAUGUCAAAAAUACAUAAACUUAAUAUAUAAAUUGGUUUGAUUUAAAUAUUUGGAUAGAAAAUCUAUAAUUAUUUUAAGUAUUUUUGGCGUUUUGGAUAUAAUUUAAUUAUUUUAAAUAUUUACUUUUGACUAUUUAUAUAUAUUUUCAAGUAUUUAAACCAACUUAAAAUUACCAUAUAUAUUUUGGAUGAUUUUAUAUACAUUAAAUCUAAAAUGAUUAUUAUAUAUAUAAGUAUAUAAAUCUAUUUUAGAUACAUUUAGGUAUUCGAAAUACUUUUGUUCAGAUCGGAUGCGGUUUCAGUUCUCUAAAUACUAAAAUUUUGAAUAAUUUGGAUAUUUAAUCGAAAUCGGUUCGGAUUUGAUACUACAUUUUUGGAUCAAGAUCGGUUCGAUUUUUUGGAUCUGGGUUUUUUAUUGAACCUUAAUAUUAACAUGAAAAACAAAUAACAAUAAAUUUUGUAAAAAAAUACACCAGCACGAGUACGCAGAUAAAAAUGUAGUUGAUAUUUAACAAAGCAUUUUAAUAGUAGUUUCUUAUUUUUCCACAGAUGUGCCUUUGGGAAAAAUUGGCCUAAUGAGCCUCUGGGCCAAGCAGACAUGAUCUAGUAAUAAAUCCAGUAUAUCAGGUUUUCUCUUUGGUGUUUAAACCCGGCCAAACAAAGUCCAAACAGACUGAUGAGCGGGUAACACAAAAAUAUUGACGGAUGGGUGGUCAGGAGGUGGCCUAAGCAAAUCAAGCACAUUGGUGCAGAUAAUUUUCGCUCAUUCUUCUCAGUAAAGUUACAUUCUUAUGCGUACAAUGCACUCGCGAUUUAGACUUGCUCGAAUUAGAAAUUGUCAUUUAUGCUUGUCAUCAAUUAAAAGUCUAAAACUCAUUAAACAUGAGCUGUAAAUCAAAAUUUAUAUGAUACCUAAAGAUUUUAAUUACAAACUAUAUUAUCUCAA